UACGUAGGGUGCGAGCGUUGUCCGGAAUUAUUGGGCGUAAAGGGCUCGUAGGCGGUUUGUCGCGUCGGGAGUGAAAUCAUCUGGCUUAACUGGGUGCUUGCUUUCGAUACGGGCAGACUAGAGGUAUGCAGGGGAGAACGGAAUUCCAGGUGUAGCGGUGAAAUGCGUAGAUAUCUGGAGGAACACCGGUGGCGAAGGCGGCAUCCUGGACCGACACUGACGCUGAGGAGCGAAAGCCAGGGGAGCAAACGGG
rnacentral:rRNA from 1 species